UUUUUUUUUUUUUUUUUGGAAGUUACGCUCGAUUUGAUGAUUUUUGCCGUGUUUUAGAUAUCAUCUAUUCGAAUUUACAAAUUACGAUUUCGUUGUUUAAAACGCUAUAAAAGAAAAUGCAUGUUCAUCGUUGCAACGCGACCAUUUAGUAGCCCUUAAUGAUGAUUUCUAUCUCAUAUUUCUCCGCAAAUCAAUGGAGUUAUUUCUAUAGCGUGCCCCAACAUGUAUGAAUAGUUUUGGUGUUUUUCUUUUUUAAAUUCUGCGCUUUCUACGUGUCAGAAUGACAGUACUAACCACUACUAUCCAUAUCGUGAUAUUGAACUUGAAGUGCAAAUUCUUUGAUCUUUGCCUUUCAAAUAUUAUAAUUUAAGUGGUGUGCAGAAGCAUUCGGUCACUUGUUUAACUGAAGCUUUCUUAUAUUUGCACACUGGGGCAAUUAUUUAUUUGCACAUCCUAUUAACAGAGUGAGAAAUGACAUGUGCACUGAAGAAGCAGAAAAAACCUAAUGUGCAAGAUUAAUAAUAUAUUUAUAUCUAUACGUUUCCUUGGUAGGUGUCGGUUCCUCGCCUGUACGACGGAUACAUGCAUAAUCCUGCUCACGGUAAAAGUUUUGAUGAUUUUGAACCUUAUCUAGCAGCCAACAGACUAGCAAACAGAUCCCGAGGUUUGCCUGAGAAUAACCUUCUUAAAAGUUUCUCAGGGGAUAGAGAAAGAGCCAACAGUGUUGCUAAGAUCAAAGUUGUGGUAUGUCUCAUUGAGGUUCUUCUGAUGUUUCUCUUAUUCAUGCCAUGUAGUGCCCCGAUUAAGUGAAUUUUUUUCCCCAGUAAUUGAUAAAAAUGCUAAUGGCAAUUUCUUAUAUGUAGGUACGCAAGAGACCAUUAAACAGAAAGGAAAUAGCAAAGAAAGAGGAUGAUAUCAUUACCAUAGAGCCAAAUUCCAAUUCUCUUACAGUUCAUGAAACGAAACUCAAAGUGAGUUCUUGAUAGAUGAAUCUUAUACUCCAAAAGUUGCCAAUCAUAUCUCAUUAUGGUGAUAGUUCCUCUGUCCCCAGAAACCAACCUAAUGAAUUUCCCUUUGAGUUCAUUAUUAUCUCUGGAAAAUAUGUGAUGAUAUUGGCAUAUUCGGAUUCCUCGACUGCUGAUAUCAUAAUAUAUAAGCUAGCAGUCUGUUCAUCGAAACUGAAACUGAGUGCUGAAUGCUUCAUUGUUUAAGCAAAAUAGAAUACUUGCUUCCAACCAAUUUCGUUGUUAUUGCAAGAUUUUCUAGGUUACAAUAAUAUGGGUAUAUAAGUAACUUGAUAUCAACCUUCCUCCACCACUCUUUUGAAAAUCUGAUCUACCACAUCUCUGCAGGUUGACUUAACGGAAUAUGUGGAGAAACAUGAAUUCGUUUUUGAUGCUGUGCUGAAUGAAGGUGUUUCAAAUGAUGAAGUGAGUGUGUGACAAGAUUUGGUCCAUAAUUAUAAUGUAAUUCAGUAGAUUUUUAGCAGAUUCUUUUUCAUCCCCGUAGGUGUAUUCUGAGACUGUGGAGCCCAUAGUUCCUCUAAUUUUCAAUAGAACAAAAGCAACCUGCUUUGCAUAUGGACAAACAGGCAAGUACUCUUAUUCUCAAUGAUACUUAACUGUUGGAUACUGACUGACAUGACAAAUUAAUUGUACCUUAGAUUUUCAAGUUACAUUUUUCUAAGUCGUUCUCAUACUUUUGCUGGAAUGGGAACCACACAAUUUUUAUUUGUAGUCUGUGCUGGAAACCUGAAAUGAUCUUUCAUAGUUUUAGACAAUAUGAAACUCUUGACAUUUGGGGUGAUGGUGCCUGUGCAAAGUUCACAUGUUAAAUAUGAGUUAAUCUUUCCUAGAAAAAUGAAGCUAGAAUUGAUAACAAAAAAGAAAAGGUAUCCUUUUGUGGUGGGUUGCGGGGAACCCAUAUUUUUCAUUUAUUUUUUCAGGUGUUCACUUGCUUUCUUUCAGCUUUCUUUGUCUCACUCUUUCUUGUUAUAUUAUUGUGAAUAAGCUUGGGUUGAUCUUAUUUUCCUGUCAGGGAGUGGAAAGACUUACACAAUGCAACCAUUGCCACUAAAAGCUUCCCUAGAUAUAUUGAGACUAAUGCACCAAACAUACAGGAACCAAGGCUUUCAAUUGUCAGUCAGUUUCUUUGAGAUAUAUGGAGGGAAGCUUUUUGAUCUUCUUAAUGAUCGGAAGUGAGUUAAUUAAGUUUGUAGGUUUUGUGUAGGCUAGAAUAUUAUGCUGAUUAGUCUGAUAGAGUUCUAUUUUUGCAGAAAACUUUGCAUGAGGGAGGAUGGGAAACAACAAGUUUGCAUUGUGGGUUUGCAGGAAUACAGAGUUUCAGAUGUUGAGGCAAUCAGGGAAUUCAUUGAGAAAGGAAAUGCCACUAGAAGCACUGGUACAACUGGCGCAAAUGAGGAAUCCUCCCGAUCACAUGCUAUACUUCAACUUGCCAUAAAGAGAUCAGUUGAUGGCUCAGAAACAAAGCCUGCCCGACUUGUAGGAAAGCUGUCUUUCAUUGAUCUGGCUGGGAGUGAGCGGGGUGCAGAUACUACUGAUAAUGAUAAACAAACAAGGUGGGGUAUGAUUGGAUUAUAUUCUUUUUCUGAACCCUCUAUAUUUAUUGUUAUUCCUUUGGACCUUCAGCAUCGCAUUUCACAUGAAUAGUUGGGGGUACUGUGGUGCUUCUAAAUGGUCCAAGCCUGCUUUCAGUGGGUUUAUUUUGGUCUUCAACUUAUACUGAUGUCUCAAAAUCCUUUGGGUUUAACAGAAUAAAUAAUUGCUUUACAUCUUUAUAGAAUGGAAGGUGCUGAAAUCAACAAGAGCUUAUUAGCUUUGAAAGAAUGCAUUAGAGCUCUUGACAGUGACCAGGGUCACAUUCCCUUCAGAGGGAGUAAGCUGACUGAAGUUCUUAGAGAUUCAUUUGUUGGUGACUCUCGUACUGUUAUGAUAUCAUGCAUUUCACCAAGCUCAGGCUCAUGCGAACAUACUCUAAAUACGCUAAGAUAUGCUGAUCGGUACGAGGCUUUGAACGAAGAGUAGUGGGAAUUUAUCAGUAAUUUUACUUGAAAAUUUCUGAUUGAUAUUUGCAUUCCAGGGUCAAGAGUCUUUCUAAAGGAAACAACAAACGUGAUCCGCUGUCUUCUUCAAACCUUAGAGACUCAACUGCAUUGCCUUUGACUUCAGUUUUGCCUAAUGAAACAGCCUUUGACAAUAAUACAACUGAUAUUUCCAAUGGAAAGAACAAAUUUGGAUGGGGAAAACCAAUAGAAACAGAAACAUCACCACCUCUUAAAGUGGAUCGUGUUCCUAGUGGCAGGGCAGAGGAACAUUUGGCUGCAUCUGUAUAUUCAGAUUAUUACAAACGCCCGAUGGGUGGUCAAAGCGGCAUCCCUGAUGAUGAUUUUGAUUACACCAAGGAAGCUUAUGAACAAGAAAAACCAUCAUGGACGAAUAAUAAGAAACUAGAAACCUAUGAAAUUCCAGCUAUGGGGGAUAGGCCGAGAACUAAUGCUCCAGCGAAAUUGAGAGAUAUUCCAGACUUUAUGGCAAAUAAUUCUCAUUCAGAUGAUGAUCUUAAUGCCCUUUUGAAGGUAAUUACAUUCUGGAUAUCUUCUAAUUGGUUUUCUGAUAGGUUCUCUACAUGUACGGAUUAAACUCUGCUAUGGUUUCUUAGGAAGAAGAGGAUCUUAUAUCUGCCCACCGUAAACAAGUGGAGGAUACGAUAAACAUUGUUAGGGAGGUCAGUGACAAUCUCUUUUCAGUUUAUUAGAUUCUUCUGCAACUGUUAGUUUUGGAAUGAUUGCAAUGAUUCAUGCAGGAGAUGAACUUGCUAGCUGAAGCUGAUCAACCAGGCAAUCCGCUGGAUGAUUAUAUCUCUAAGUUAAAUGGAAUUCUUUCACAGAAGGCUGCAGGAAUUCUACAUCUGCAGACUCGUUUGGCUCAAUUUCAGAAACGUCUGAAUGAGCACAGCGUUUUGAUAUCAUCAUAUGGUAAUUGAUUUGAGGCUUGGAGAGGUGUAAAUUUUUGGUGGCAGUUUAUGUGACUCAGAUUCUUCAUCGCGUUGUAACUACGCCUGGUUACAGAGAAAUAAUGCUUUUCGGGGUUGUUGGUUGGAGGAUGGGCCUUUUGUUUCCCUAUUAUUCUACUGUAUGAAGCCAGUCACUAUUCUGAAUUAAAAGAAACCUAUUAUAUAAGCCUCUGUUCGAUGGCUUAUUUUUGGAACAUAUGUAUGCGUUUUUGGUUAAACUAUCUUGUUUGGCUGUUAAUUUAUAACGUAAACGCGGUUAGUAGCUACCUUUGUCAUCUGUUGAUAGUGAAAAUCUCCUGUUUGGAUGUGCACAUAUAAAAUCUGUUAAAUGUCAAUUACAAGUGGUUUGGACAAUGAAUUGAUAGCGAUGCCCUUGUUUGCCUUGACUGGCUCAAAUCUCAAUGUUAGAUUGAUGCUUAUCAUGAAUGGAUAAAGUGGUAACUGGUUUUCUCAGCUUGUACAUUUAUGGAGAUUGUGGAGUUCGUUAAUUUGGGGCAUGAGGAGCUUCAGUCUGGCAGAUGCUUUAUUAUUUCUAGAGAACAACUUGUAAGUUCCACUUCCUUUCUGAAGUUUUUAUCAUUUUUAGUUAUUCCUGAAUAGACAAUAUGCAAGUUCUUGUGAAAUAUUUUAAUUGCUUACUCAAAUACUUGAUUAUUAGCCAAAAUUUUUUUUAUCAUUUUAGUAUUUGCUGGCUGGUCAUUUUGUGUAGAUUUUCUUACUAACCAUUUUAUAAGUGCUGCUUCAACUAAGGAAACAUGCCUUUUCCAUUGACUAUCUGGUAGCAAGUGAAAAGGGCAUAGUUUGUACUUAUCAUUUACAUUGACAAAAUGAGAAAUACACAAUGAAAAAAGAAGCAACAUGGUAAAUAUCCAUUCGUACUGUGAGAAUUAGAAGUCAAGAUAAGGUGCAAUGUGAUUGUCUCGUAGCUCCUUUGAUCUAAUUAGCAACCCAGACGAUGUGGCCUUCUGGUAGGAAGUGACAAAUAGGAACAGUCCCAGGCUCAACCUUAAGAACUUGGAAAGCCAAGUGCAUGGGAUUCCACUUUGAUGUAUCGGUAUGGCAUACAGCAACAGCGCUGACUUGGGUUUUAUCUGCUCCAACCAAUGGAACCAUGUAAGCCUUAGUGUUACAUGUUUUGUGGCAGUAGAAUACAGGGUAAAUGUAGUUUUGGAAAUGACAUGCUACUAUCUUGCUCCCAACUAAUCUAACUUUUCGGAUGAUGCUAAAUUCUUGAUGCUGUGUAUCCUCUUUAUCAACUUGCGUGGCCAAAGCUUGAACAUUUUUUCCAAGCGUCAAAAUCCCAAAAUCCACCAUUGCUUCCAAUGAUGUAGCACAAUACUUGUCCUCGCCCAAUAGUGCUGGCUCCUCGCACUCUUCUAUUGUCUUCCUCAUUAUCUCAGCUUUUGUUGAAUUAGGCUUGAUAGAGAAUUUGUGAAGGACUUCUGAGAACUUGUUUGAGGAGAAUGGUAUCAUCUGAGCAACUUGGCGAGGUAAGAACUUAGUUUUAGCUGCAAAUUUGGUGAAAUAGAGAUUCAUUUUUGUUCCUGGAUGUAGAUCUUUGUAUAGGAAGAACAGAGUCACGUUUCGGUUGGUUAUGAGUUCGUACUCAGAGGCCCCAUAAGUAUACAGGAAUGGUUUUGCAUCUUGGAUGAAUGGUGGCUGGACAUCUACUGAAACUCCUUUGCCCACAUCUACUCCUACGCCACCGAUAUCUAUAGAAAUAGCAUUAUCUUCAAAACUCUUCUGCUCUGUAAGACAAGGUGAACGUUAUAUUUAGUUAGAAAUCAUAAUAUUAGCAUAACAUGUCCAAAAUUUGUAUUCUGGCUCUUAAUUUAAAUCCACUAUUUGUUGGUACAAUUACAAAAGUGGUUUAAAAAAAUUGACAACGGAGAGACGAGUAAUAGCUUUAAGAGUGAUUUCUUCAAAAAGCCAUCUUAGAACUCAGUAGCUCUUGGAAAUCAUUUUGGUUUGAAAUUAGAAACCAUGGAGAAAGGAGAAUAAGAAGAAAGGCUGAGGUCGAAGAGAUGCACCAGAUGGUAGAAGAUCUCGAAGGGCCUUAGGCAUUGGAGUAUUAGGCGACAAUGACUGCCAGUAGACCUCUGGGGUUUGAACCUGAUUUAUAGCUACAGGAAGCUGCAAAUAAUAAUAAUAAUAAAAAAAUAAACAAACUGUUCUAAAACAAUAAACAAACUGCAUUUGCAUAAUAGUGUUACUCACCCAUGUUAAGAUAAGUGUCAGGACAAAAUGAAAUUCCAUUGAAGGAUGAACAGCACUCAAGUGCAAGAAUGAGAAGGAUGAGAACUCACUACUAGCGCAGAGCUAAGUUAACAACUUAAUAUAUAGCGUAUAUAUAGGCGACUGUGAUGAUAGUUUUGAGUAACGUGAUUUUAGUGUGAUGGUUAAUAGAAAAAUAAAAUAAAAUACAGAAUAGACUGAUCAUGAAAAAUAGUUAGUGAUGGUUAUGGUCUAGUUAUACUCUUCAGUAUUGUCAUUUAUGAGUUGACUAUUAUCUGAUAAGAUGAGGAGUUACUUUAGAAUUAUGUGAAGGACCAACCCAUCAUAUUUAUUAGGUUUUGUUCGCGAAGGGAUCUUCAACCGGAUCAAGGUUCCUGAGAUCCUAUUUGGUCCAACUCUAGAAACCCACUAGCAAAAAACUUGGCCCAAAAGAAAAUUUUGCUAUAGGCUAUAGGUGGCCCGACCCAGAGUUGCCCAUCUACUGUCAAUGGCGCGUUUCUCGGAUGAAAUUUUUAUAUAUUCUCGAAAAGAAACGGUAGGCAAGUCAUGUAAUCUAUUACCUAUUAUGGGAGUGUGUUAGUUUAAAACAGAUAAAUGGCUAUACACGGAACAAUUAGGGAUCGAGUUACCUAGAUCGGAUUUAUAAAUCACUUAUGAACCAAAUCAAUUAAUAGAGUAAAAAUUUUAUUGAAAUGAUAGUACCAUUCGCUCAAGAAAAGAAAAAGAUAAAAUGAGAAUAAUAUUUAAGAAAUCUCUAUUUUUAUUGGUUUAGAAAUCUCUGUUUUUAUUUGUUUACAUAAUUUCCUAAUAGAAUUUUUGGUAAAUACCGAAAAUCUUAGAUCAUUUAUGAGUUUUAUGUAUUUAAGUGUAAUAAAUAUGGUUGGUCAGUUGCGACGGAGAUCAGGAUUAGGGCAAGAACUACUUUCUUUUGCAACCACAAGUCGAUAACCUAAGUUUUUUUUUUUUUUUUUUUUUUUUUUUUUUUUUUUUUCUGCUUGUGAUAUACUGUUUUUGCUGACUUAUACUUGGCCUUUCAUUGCUAGCACCUUAUAUAAUUUUGUAGGGUUAACAAAAGUUAACAAAGUGACAAUGUUGGUGACAAAUGAACGUGGAAAGAAUUGCAUUGCUAAAAAUAAUUGGUGAAAUGUCAUUCUCUAAUGCUAUUAUAGAAACACAUACGUAACUCUGCUGACCAUUAACAUCAACUCACUGUGUUUGUUUGAGCUUGACUCGUAUUCUCUAAUUGUGCCACCGCCACCUGUGUCCUAAAGCGGGUCCGACAUAACUUAUAACCUUGUACCCUGAAGACUGAUCUGGACAUCAACAUACCAUUUUUAGCAGCACAAAACACCAAAUAGCCCCCCCAAAAACAAAAUAGGAAAAAGAUAAAAAAAAAAAAAAAAAAAAAAGACAUUCAAGUAAUGAUGUGUCUCAAUUUGACGAUAGCUCUCUCUCUCUGCAGCUAUGUCCAUUAUAUUGGCCACAUAAGUUUAUGAAAUUUUCAUCGACCGUCCACUUGGCCUGGCCUUUUUAAUGUUAAAUCAUCAAUGGACCAAGAGUUUGUACAAAUUAGAAUUUGAUCUUCUUGAAAGGACAAGCACAGUCGUUUUGUCUUUUUUUUUUUUUUUUUUUUUUUUUUUUUUAUAGAAUUUGGACCACUUUGAAUUCUACCCUUUGGACACACCGAACUGGAAAAUCAAUCGAAUUUAUUAUUUUUUAGUAGUCUUUUCUAGUGAAGUGGUCACUUUGGUUUUCAAUUACUGUUUUUCUGGUUGAAAUUCACGUAUUAGAGCGUCAGGAAUAAAACAAAUCAAAAAUUCAAAAAAAUGUUACCUAACAUUUCUAGAUUAUUUAUUUUUUUUAUUAAUGUUAUUUUCUUUAUGAUUAAUGUUUUGAAACUCAUUUUUACUUCCAUAAUUUUAUUAUUACCGGUUGAAGAUUCAACCCCUCCGUUAUUGAAAGAUUUGAAAUAUAACACGCAUUAAUUAUGAUGUAUUGAUCAUUUGUCUUCGAAACUGAUGUCAAAUUGUUAUUGGUCGGAAUUCUAAACCCCAACUUGGCUACUAACUGAUGGAGACUUGCUAUUUGCUACUAACAUUUUAUGUGAUUUGAUUUGUUGGAAUUUGAAUCAUUUUAUCCACUAUGUGUUUCUUUGGCUGAGAAAAGAUAAAUAAAUUAUAAAAAUUGAUAAAUUUUAAUUUAACCGUUAAUGCUAUUAUCUUGAAAUUAUGACUUUUUAUAUUAAUAACAGUUAUUGUAAAAAUACUUUUUAAAUUUAUAAGAAAAGCAAAAAAACAGGAAGCUAAUGUCCUACUUUUUUAUUUCUUUAAUAGAAAAUAUUAGAAAAACAUUUUUCUUUAUUGUUUCAACUCAAAGAAAGUCUGGUGUAUGAUGUAAAAGAUAGAAAAUGAUUAGAAAUUUGACGUCAUAUUAAGAAUUGGAAUCCUCUUUGACUUUUUUUUGAAUGGCAGAUAGCAUAGGAAUAAUACCAAAUAAAGUGGAAUUUAUAUUAUUAUCCACUUAAUUAGCAACCAUUAAACCUUUGUAUUAUUUUUUUUUUUCAUACUUUAUCAAUUACAAAAUCUCUCUCUAAUCGCAUAAACAAUAUAUAAUAAAUUGAUAUUAUAUACUUUUAACUAUAUAAAAGUAAUGACCUGACAUUAAUCGAUACUAAAUUCGAACCUCUGUACUCUUAAUUUUUAAAGUUAUAAAUUAUAAUUUAUGUAUUGGAUUCAUAUAUAUGGGACAAAAGCACAAGUUCAAGAUUAGUUGUAAUAAACUCAAGAAAUGAUCUUCAGUAUACUUCAAGACUUUGGUUAUUUUCACACAUUAUUUCUGUAGUUUUAACCUUUCCUCGUUUUUAUGAUUUUUUUUUUUUUUUUGAAGCAAAAAGAGAAAAAACAUUUGUCCUCUUAUGAUUCUUUAAUUUUUGAUUUUCAAUAAAAACAAAAUCAAAUUAAAGUUCUAUUUACUAACGAAGAUCGAAUAAGGCCCCACAAAUCUGUAUAAAAUCUUGAUUUCUCUUGUCUAUGUGGAUUUGUAUUGGAGUGUGACAUUUCAAGUCGGUAAAUAUAUUAGUUUCUAUUUUUUUUUUAAAUAAAUUUAUUUCAUUUUAUUAUUUCUUAAAUAAUGAAAUGGGAUAUUUUUAGUCAAUUUUUCCAUAGUGAUAUUGAUUAGUAAUUUUGAUUAACGUUUAAUGAUGGACUUUCGAAAGGAUUUGCUUAAUUAACAGUCAAGAAAUCUAAUUACACUUCAUAUGGACCAUUCAAAUUUUCAAUCUUUUUGUUUUUUUUUUUGGAUGAAAGGACAAAGAAGGGUCUGGAUCAAUACCUAGAUAUGGAGGUUUAGACAAAUUUAGGGUUAGGAUAGAACCUAAUUAAUUAAGUUAUAUAAGUAGUUUGAUUAGAUAUAAAACAAUAUUAUAUUCUACCUAAUUAACAACAAGUUUUAAACUUGUAAUGUAAUGUCAAAAAAAAAAAAAAAAAAACUUGUAAUGUGAAUGCAGACAAGGUCAAACACAUUGCUAUAUGGCAAGGGCGCAAGAUAGUGAGCCAAUGAGAGUGAUCAAUAAGAAGGACAAAAGAGGUCAUAUCAAUGUGUACAACCUGCAAAUUAAUGGAUUGUCCCACCAAAAACUUUAGUAUUACUCCCUUAAACUUAUCGAAAACGUUUGUAAUUAAAAUUGAAAUGACUAUGAUUUAAAAUUUUUAAAGAUCAAUUAGAUUAUAUUUGAUUGGCAGUUUAAAUUUUUUAUUUGUAUUAGAAAAUAGUUGGUUUUUAACCAUGUGGUGAUGUGGGUUGGAUUCCCCAGCUUAAGGCCCCAAAUAAUUAUGUGAAUGUUAGAGGAUUUUCUAUAUAUGCCCACCUAAUUAAUUAAACAGCCAUAGUGAUUAUAGAAUUCUAACACUCGCUUAAUAUGGUGAUUAAUGGUUAACUUAAUGGGCAAGAGUGAUUGCAGAAUUGCAAUUUAAAAAUAAUGAAAAAUGGAAAAUAUUGUAAUUGGACAAACUUUUUGUCUAGCAAAAUGGCUGAGUGCGGCUAUGAUUGUGACCAAACCUCUCUAUCACAUUGCAGUAAUUAAGUUUAAGUUUAUUAAAUAAAAUAUUUAUUGUUUAGCAUACAUUAUUGACCGCACUACUGAUUUUUAGGGGAGGUAAUGGAUCUUGAUUUGCUAAAAGAGGAAAUCAAAGAUAUAUAUUCUUUGUUUCAUUUAAUGAAGAUAUUUAUAAAAUGUGAAUUCUUGCAUCAGAAGCUAAAGCAGAAAGUUUGGAAUGGGUAAUGUAUAUUAAAUAAUUAAAAAUAAAGUCCACUAAAAAAAUAUUAAAAUAAAGCAACUUAAAUUUGUACUCAAUGAAUAAAAUAAAUUAACAAAAACAAGAAAAGUAUCCAUUGCCAAUUUAAUAUUCUAAACGAGGGAAUUUUCAAAUAUUUACUUUCUUUAGGUUAGAGAUAUAUUUUUACACAUAAGAUAGUAUCAGUAUUUAAUUUUAACAUUGGAAAAUGAGAAAUACGGAAAUUAGUGAAAACGACAAGUUAUAAUAACAGCCAAUACAAAGGGGACAAGCCGUUGAUUUAGAACAUUAAAAUUUGCUCCCCAAACUGCUAACAGUCCAAAUAGAGAAAAGCUUAAUUAAAAAAACAUUUGGCAGCGACACGUGGCUAUUAGACACGUAGGGACAAUGACUCCAUGCGCCAACGCACAAUCUGCCUUAGCCCAAAAGUAAAGCCAAAACCAAAUCCGAUUCCAAGCUACCGAAUCUAAGCUGUUUUACACUCCCCCCUUUCUAUUUUUAUUUUUUAUAAUUUAUAUACUCCACGCUCCUUGCCAUCGUGUGGGCGUUUAUUUUUGUUUUUUUUUAUUUACUUUUAAAUUUUUAUUACUGCUGUAAGAUAAUAUUUACAUUAAGACAGACUGAGCCCAUUACAAGCACUGUAGAUAAAUUCUUUUUUUCAGGAAAUUAAAUUGAAAAAACAGUGAGACAGAGAUAACAUAUAUGGAGUUCAAAUAUAAGCAAUAUACAUUGGAAAAAAACACCUAUAGUUCCAAAAGAGCGAGCAUUGAUCCCAAACUCAAGUUGCUGACUGCUGAGCCUGUCUGUGUUUCCCCAAUUUGUUGUCAAAAACCGGGACCACGUCCACGUAACACCCUUACCGGUACACGCAUGACACGCGCGUCGAUUGCGAGUUAGAAAACCAUUCCAUCUGAAAAUAUCUAACCAUGAGGGACCACGGACUUGUAACAAAAGAUUAUAAAAGCGGAGGCACGUGGGUCCCAUUCUCGUGACCCAAGAAAUAUCACAAACCAUACGGGUUUGGCUUCCUGCCACGUUAACUCAUCUUACAGUAGGCGCGCGUCCGCUUAUAUAUUGCGGUGCUACCUCAACGACAUUAAAAUAAUAAUAAUAAUAAUAAAAAUAAAAAUAAAGAGCCGGCUGUGAGACGGCCCAACCCAUCCGCACCACCUGCUUCUCCUCCUUCCUCCAUAAGAAGCAGCUUCACUUUCUUUUAGAGGAGAAUUAAAUACAGCCUAGUUUAUGGGAUGGAGUCUAACAACGUCGUAGCACCGUUCGUUAUGAAGACUUAUCAGAUUGUCAAUGAUCCAAAGACGGAUACGAUAAUCAGUUGGGGCAAAGCCAAUAACAGCUUCAUCGUCAUCGACCCGUUAGAUUUCUCACAGAGGAUCUUACCUGCUUAUUUCAAACACAACAACUUCUCUAGCUUCGUUCGUCAAUUAAACACCUAUGUAAGUCCCUCUAAUUAUAAUUAAUUAAUAUAAAUACGCCUAAAAUAUUAUUAAUUAAUAGUGUUUUAACGUUAAUUUUAAUUAUUAACAGGGUUUUAGAAAAGUGGAUCCCGAUAGAUGGGAAUUCGCAAAUGAAUGUUUCUUAAGAGGCCAAAAGCAGUUACUGAAGAAUAUAGUUCGUAGAAAGCAUAGUAAGAGCUCAUUUAUGCAAGGUAAAAUUGAGGACUUUGACAAUGAAGAGUUGGUUAUGGAGAUAGCGAGGUUGAAGCAGGAACAGAAGCUUCUAGAGAAAGAGCUUGAAGGGAUGAACAAACGUUUAGAGGCUACGGAGAGAAGACCUCAACAAAUGAUGGCUUUUCUUAACAAAGUCGUCGAGGACCCUGAUCUUCUUCCUCGCAUGAUGCUCCAGAAGGAACGAACCAGACAAUUAACUGAAAAGAAACGCCGUCUUAUGAUUUCUUCUUCUUCGUCGUCCUCUGGUGGAGCCGCCGUUUCUAGUUCUGUUAAGUCUGAAGAAGAAGAAGAGGAGGGAAACAUAGGGGUAAUAUCGUCACAAGAGAAUAAUAACCUUUGGCAAUCAUCCCCGUCGCCGGAGACAAAUCCUAUAAGAUGGUUAGGAGAAGGAAACUACGGUUGUUUGAUAGAGCCUGGUCUGUUAACGUCGGGUUCUUCAGUAGGUGCAGGGAUUGGGAAUAGUGUGACUGUAGCGGUGUCUCCGCCAGGGAACGGUUUGAUAGUUUAUGGCGGUGAUAGGGUAGGGGAAAUUAGUUAUUUUGCAGGACUGGAGGCGGGGGUGGAUGCAAGACCGCCACCGCCUUAUCCAUUUUCGCUUUUAGGAGGUGGCUUUUAGCUGCUAUUAACAAGAAAUAUCAUCUUGGAUUCUAUAUACCUUCUGUAUUAAUUUUGCUUUUUGGUAUAUUGCCUUUUCUUUAUCCCUUUCUUUGGUUUAAUAAUUCUUGUAAAAAAACAGAAGUAAUUUAAUUUUGUGGUUAAUAUGCUGUUUAUAUUGAUAAUACAUUUCCAACAAAUCUUCUUUUAUAUAUAUACACACAAAUCAUAAAUAUAUAAAUAAAAUUAUUUCGCAAAAAUAUAUAUAUAUUUUUUAUAAGAAAAUUAUGACAUAAUCCUCUUAUUAGAGGGAGGUUGAGAAAUGGUGGUAUAACUAUGAAUGAUCGACAUGUUAUUUUUCUGUAAAAAUGAUCAGACGGCAUUCACUUUUAUGUAUUAAUAACAAAUUACAAGAAGUUGUCUUGUGCAUGAACCUGAACCUGAACCUGACGUUCCUGGAUUCUGAUUCUUUCUUCCUUUUUUUUUUUCUUUCUGCAACCUAUGAAAAGGCGGUUGGACCUUUUUAAUUUUCGGAGUUAUCAAUUUCACAAAGUUGGGGAGCAGACGGAUAAGUUAUCCAUCCAUAAUCCAUUGACACCGCCGCAGCAAUUUGCUAUGCCUCACUUCGCCUUUUACCCAAUUAGAACACGCCACAUGUCAGAGUCUGGCUUAACCCACUGUACUUUGCCCUCCUAAUAUUGGCAAAGUGGCAGUGGAAGUCAAAUAUUUGAGGGAAUCAGAAUUUAAUAAAAAGAAAACGCAGGCAUGUGACUCGCCUCUUUCAGAUCACAUUGGGGCACACUUUCAGAUCAUCAUCAUCAUCAUCACCAAUUAAAAAAAUAAAAAUAAAAAUAAAAAUUUACACGGUUGGAAAAGGCAAACACCCUUUUUUAAUACCUCUCUGUGCUCUUGUCCCACCUGAGCUGGCACUCCUUGUUUUCUUGCUUUCCCAGUUAGCCUUACCCUUCACAGCAAAAUCACGUGCCAUCUGCGUGACAGUUGAGAUGCGAAUUUCCUCUUUAUAGCCUCAUCAUAGACACCACGUGAAGGACAAAGUUAAAACAACACCUAUAUUGUCCAAAUCUGAUUAAUCUAGGAUUCAUGUUAAUGUAAUUAAUUUCAGAAUAGAGUAAGCUUUGUUAUUGUUGGUAAAUAUUGUCCUAUGACUCCACGCGUACAUUUACCAGAAGUUUGAUAUACAGUAGCAGUAAAUUAGUAACAGUACAAGUGACGAGAGGUGAACGUGAGAAGUCGAUCACGUGGGACCCGUAAAGCGACUAAAUCCCGUUUUUGGAAGUUUUAUCGGAGGACGCGUGUCAACCAAGUGGACAUAUUACUAUGUGAUGUGGGGCCAAGCGCUGACAAGGACUAAUUGCGGAGGGAGGCCUGAAGGUGUGGGGACAUGUAAAGGGCAUCUUGUCUUGUGGGGACCAAUCCUCGUCUAGUGAGUCCACGUGGGGAGUGUAAGAGGAGGGAGUGGCACGUGUUAGCAUUCCGAUGCUAUCGCUUUUUAGUGUUCACAUGGAUAUGAGGAAGAGGAGGCCCCCCUCCCAUCAAACUCCAACUCCAACUCCAACUCCAACCCCAACCCAGCCCAGGCCCUGUUGCGGUGCACCUCUGGCACACAAAAUCAUGCUAGGCGUUGAACCCAUUACUUGAGUAGGUCCCACCACGUGUCAACUCUUUUCUUUCUUAAUUCGUUUAUUUUAUUAUUAUCAUUAUUAUUAUUAGAAUAAUAAUCUAACUACAACAACUUGAGACUGAGAUACGUUAUAACCCAACCCAACCCAAAUCCAGUCCAAACAAAAUAUCCUCUAGCUAAAUUCUUAGUAUUUUAAUUUUUAAAUACAAACUGGAAAGGAAGAGGGACACGUGGCCAUUUGAAAGACAAGGAAAGUCACUGUCUAAUGGAGAUGAACCAAUCAGAACCAUUAAUUUAGGUAAAUAAUUGUGGCUUUAUGAUUAUAAAGUGUGGUUAAACCACGGCCACGUAAAAUGAAUCAGGCACGUCACCCUCCGACUGAUAAAAAAAAAUAUUAGAAAUUAGAAUACAUGUGAUGUACAUUAGGACUAAGGCAAUGGUGUAACUUUAUGAUCCACUGAUUAUAGGAUAGGACCCAUUAACUGAAAAUGAAUAAAUAAAUAAACAAAUAAAAAAAUAGUGGAGUUUGUGUCCCACAGCUGAGAUGAUAAGUAAUCGCUCUAAUAUUACUCGCAAUUUUCGCACGCUUGGUUUAUUUAUUCUUAAGCUGCUUCAAACCGGCAUGCAAAUCAUACAUACAAUUAUUGACCGCAAAAGAAAAUGAGUGACUGUUCGCGCGGCUGACUCACAGCUUGAAUUGUCAUUUACGGUCUAAUACACCAUCUGUAAAACUGAACGAAUUUAAUAAAUAUUAAAUUCUUGUAAUUUUCUAGAAUUUGAAGAAUUAUAUUAUAUCAUGCAAUUUAAACAAUUUGCUUAUUGCGAAGCCAACAAUUUUGAAUUCAGAAUUGUUAUGAUGACAAUCCCACAAAAUAUGGAUGAAGAAAUGGAAAGUCUUUCCCAUGAAACGCUUAAUCAAACACAUGCUUCGAAAAUUCCUACCUUGAAAUAUUGACUGAUAACAUUUGAAGACCCUUUACCAUUGAUUUUUUGUUAAGCCGCCUAACAAUCAUUAGACUUGAAAUCUUGAAUUAAUUUGAUAUAGACCAUAUAAAAAAAAAAAAAAAAAAAAAGUUUGGAAAUUACCUUCUUUUCGAAAAAAACAAAAAAAAAGAAAAAAGAAAAACACUAACGACGUUAAUAAUAGCAGGAUUUCGGCUCAAAAGCCGAUACGACGUCCAUUGGGCUAAGCAUCAGAAGCCCAAUAUGUGCAAGGUUUUGGGUUUCUUGUAGUGGACCUAAUGUAUACUUAACCGAGCAAUUGGGUUUGCAUAGGGGUGUUUUAUUGCUUUCGGACUUCGAUGAAGCCCAGCCCAUAUUGUAUAGAUUUUGAUAACUGAGGAGACCUAAAAUUUUGUCAUGUCAAACUAAACUGUACCAAAGGAUCAGUAUUUGUCACAAAAAACUAAAAGAUCCUGGCCAUUAAUCCCACUUUUGCCUAACAAGUAACCACCCAACUAAAGUAGUAGGCCGAGCAAUGCCUUUUCAUACUGUCUCAUAAAUACAAAAUUUAUAAAUUAGGUAAUGGAGCCUUUAUUAUUAUUAUUAUUAUUAUUAUUUUUUCAAUACUUUAUUAUUAUGCUUUUGAAGUUGGGCUAUAAUCAGAUUUUGCUAAGAAAUAAUAAGGCCCACCAACUAACAUUUGAAGUCCCAACAUCCCUUCCUAAAGCUACUAAUUAAGCCAUAAAAAAGUCUGCAUUGACACUGCAAAAAACCUUAAACUCCCAUCUUAGUAUCGUGAUUAAUUAUAAUUAGAAACAAACCUACUUAGCUUAGCUUAGGUAUAUAGGCCGGCCUUUACCAUGGGAAUUGAAGCAACCUUGUAAAGGCUGUAUAACAUUUUGGGAUCCACGUAUAUAUAAAUGCUUGUCUUAUGUUUCGUGUAUUUAUACUUAGGGUUAGGAUAAAAAAUUUUAAAACGCCUAAAACAAACUUUAUGCCAUUCUCGAAUUGAUUUUGCCAAUAAUAUAUAAAUUGUUUUUUCUUUUUCAUUUUUGGAAAAAUAUUCUUGAUUUCAGUGUCUUUUUUUUUUUUUUUUUUUUUUGUGAUGCUUUUGUUUAUUUAUAUAUUUAUUGUAGUUGUUGGCUGAAUUAUAGCAAAAAUAUUCCUUUUAUUACUCAAAAUUUAGAUAAAUUGUAAGUAAAAAGAAAAAUCAGAUUCAGAUGUACUUGGUUUCUGUAAUUAGUUGACGGAGUAAUAUUUCCAAUGUGAAAGAAAAAAGAAAAACCCAAUAGGAAUUAAUCAAACUGAUUUAGUCAAUCUUAAUUUGAUUUUGAGAUGCCCAAUGAUUUCUUUGUUUUUCUUUUAACGAAAUUUCUAACUGUUUAAUAUUAUCCACUAUUAGUAACUACUAACUAACGAAUCGCUGACUCUGAUUUUAAUAUAUUCAAAUUUAUAAAAAAGAACAUUUAAAUUUGAGCUUUCAAAUAUAUGUGUUUAAAUUUAAAAUUUCUCACAUUUGAUUGUUAAAAAUUUAAAUAAAAACAUCAAAAAUAUAUUUCUUCAAUUAGUAAAAUUGAAAUUGGAGAAAUGAUGGUUAUCUUAUAAAAUGAUUAGAGUAGGCUAAUUGGGUAGGUUUGAUUAUUAGUCUUCUUUAAUAAUUUGGAAUUGAACGAGUGGUUAACUUAGUAGACGUAAAGAGUAAGAACAUGCAUGGCAUAUAUAUAUGUGUUUGUAUUGGAAAUGCCAAAUGGAAUAGAAAACUGAAAAGGAAAAGACAGCAAACAUUCUUUUUAUUGCACGCUUCAAAUGAAGCUCCAGAAAGAAUCUUCCGAAGCAACUCUUUUUUUGAUGAAGAGGAAUAUAUAUAAAAGGAAGAGAAGGUGUGGAUGGGGAAGAAAGAAAUUGUCCAAAGUCUUGGUGGGAGAGAAUGUUCUUUGAUUCCGCAUGAUAACAAACAAUAAUAGUGGGAUGAUUCAUGGAUUUGAUUCAACUACCGUACUUUGAUUCCCAUUUACUAUCCCAUUUCAGAAAAAUUUAUAUCAUUUAACUCUCCAACUUUAACAAUUCUGAGAUAUGAUUUUUCCAAUUUCAGAUUAUAUCUUUCUAACUUGAAUUACAGCUAUGCAAGUAGCCGUUUCAUGAUUCUAAUUUAAUUCUAUUUUUCUUUGUAUAAGAUUUUGGCUUCCUUCCUGAACAUGACAUACAAUUUCGUACUCAUGAUUUACCAAUUAAUAUAACAACACAUUGGUCUCACUCUAUAAGUAGUCCAUGAACCCCAUUUAGUAACUGGAAAGGUUUGGUCCAAAGCAGCAUCAUGACUACCUUGCGAUGUACUUCAAAUCAGAUGGUUAGGAACUGUCAAUUGGUAACCAUUCACAGUUCUAGUUUCCAAUUCCUUGGCUCCCUACGUAGAUUCUCCAUUUAACAUGAUCACCGUAAUUAAAAUGUUAUUAGAAAAAGAAAAAAAGAAAAUGUAUAGUCAAGAUCUAUUUGGAAAAAUUAGUUAUUUGCUAACUGUCAGUUGUUUUAGUUGUUUAAUUGUUAGUUGUUUUAAUGAUUAAAAUGUUAAUUUUAAUCAUGUUUCAAUUAAAUGUAAAAAAAAUAAUUAUGUGAGAUGAAUGUGAACUUUAUACGCUUUGUAAUUUAUUAUUAUUAUUAUACCAUGAUCCACGUUUAUAGUUUUUCGAUUCAGUUGAUACAGGUAUACUCUAACCACUUAUUCGUCUAGAUGUCAUCUUGCCAUCUAAUAUGUUCUUUCCAAUUGGAUAAUAUCACACAAACAUAUACAUAAUAUAAUUUAUAUAUUAAAAUAUAAUUUUUGCAUAUUUCCACGAAUGCCAUCAACGAGCAGGCUACUUUGUCCUCGACGCCUAGUGAAGCAGAGAGUUUCUUUUCCCUCAUAUUUCUUUUUUUUUUUUUUUAUUUAAAAGUUGGUUAAUGGAAGUUAGUUACUCACACUAACGUAGGUAGAAAAAUAUUAUAUAUAUAAGCAGAGAGAAAUUGAGACCACUGACCAUUUCUUAUAUAUAUAAAUUCAGUAUUCUGAAUCACACCCUUGAAAAGUGUUGGUUUUAGCUCCGCAGGUGUCGGCCUUCAUUUUCUCCUCUAUUGAACAAAAACUAGAAGAUCCAUGGAGAUUAGACCCUCUCAAAAUUAAUUAUCCAUAGUUCCACAAAUCCAGGAAUUCCAAAUCUCUCUUUUGGAUAAGAAGAAGAUCAAAUUUCUCUCUUUCUCUGUCCCAAAUCCAUCUGUAUUUAAACAGCUCUCCUGAUGAGUUCUAUUUUGUGUCAAAAAGGGAUUCCUUCAGUUUCCUGUUCCGCAUCAACUUCUACAUAGUUAAUUUACUUAGCUAUAUCUUUUGUUUUGCCUUAUGGACUAUUACUUGAAAGAAGUGGAAGGCAAAAGAGUCCAUGACCCCUUCAACAAGAAAAUGGCCAUAUCACCAAGUAGGUGUAUAUGGGUACCAGGAGCUCUUAUUGUUGGUGCUGGUCCUUCAGGUUUAGCUACUGCUGCAUGUCUUAAAGAAAGAGGUGUUCCUAGUUUAAUUCUUGAAAGGGCUAAUUGCAUAGCUUCUCUAUGGCAACUCAAAACUUAUGAUCGUCUUCGUCUUCAUCUUCCUAAACACUUCUGUGAGCUUCCUCUUUUGCCUUUCCCAUCAAAUUUCCCUACCUACCCUACAAAACAACAGUUUGUGGGUUACUUGGAAUCCUACACCAAAUUUUUUGGUCUCGAACCAGUCUUUAAUAACACAGUUGUCAGUGCAGAAUUUGAUAGUCGAUGUGGGCUUUGGAAGGUUAAGUCGUCUGGGCUUAAAGAGGAAGAAUCUGAAUAUGUAUGCCAAUGGUUAAUCGUUGCCACCGGAGAAAAUGCGGAUGAGGUUGUGCCUGAUAUUGAAGGAAUGGCUGAUUUUCAAGGACUUAUAAUGCAUACAAGUUCCUAUAGGAGUGGCGAAGUCUUUAGAGGAAAGACUGCUUUGGUUGUUGGAUGUGGCAAUUCCGGUAUGGAGGUCUGUUUAGAUCUCUGCAACUACAAUGCUUACCCUUCCAUUGUUGUUAGAGACUCGGUGAGCAUCCUUUAAUUUUCUUUUUCCCUCUCUUCCUUUCUUUCUUUCUUUCAUUCUCAAGCAGUCAAUUUUUUGCUUUUAUUUUAACAUAUGCUUAAUUUAGAAAAGACAAAAUCAAAGAAAGUUUUCAUUUUUAUUAUACUGUUAUUGUUUUAAUAUGUUUGUAAAAUAUCUUUAUUAUUUUACUAUUCUUUGCCACAUAAACAUAAGCUAUUAUAUUUGUUGAGAAUAUGUUCUGCAACAAUACAGACAAAGCAACUGUGCGACUCUUUUAUGCCACUUUUUCACCCCACUUGAGGGAGUUCGGAAAUUACUUGUUGCAGACUCAACUGUAUAAUAUUGUAAGGUUUUGUUUUCUUUUGUUGACUUUAGCUGCGGUAACAGUUUAUAUUAAUCUCUUGGUGAAUAGAUUUCUGGAUUUUUUUUUUUGAAUGAAACAUCACGUAGUUUAUUGGUAAGUCAGAAGUAAACCCCAAUUGUCCUUUUUCUUUAAAAAAUUUUCGCUAUAAUGAUACAAACUAAUAAAUAAAUAAAUAAAAUCUUUGAAUUUGAUGUAUCACUUUCUUGGAAUUUGUUUGCAUGCGUAGCCAUAGUCAGCAUUCCAAAAACUCGUAUGUCUUAAUUCUUUUUGGGAUUCUACUCUGCACAGUAUUGCAGAUUCUAAAGUAUAUAUGGAAAAUAAGCGUAGAAAUGGUACAUAUCCUGAAAGUUGCAAAUUCACACAUUAGUCGGUGACAUGCGUGGGGGACUCAUUAGCUUAUCUAACCCACUCCUUCGAAACUUUUCAAGUAACUUUUUUCUUUCCUUUGGGGGUUUUUUUUUGCAGGUGCAUGUCCUGCCACAACAGAUGCUCGGAAGAUCAACUUUUGGAUUAUCCAUGUGGCUGCUAAAGUGGUUUCCUUUGAAGCUUGUGGAUCAAAUUCUGUUGUUUCUUUCAUAUUUCUUGCUUGGUGAUACUUCUAAACUUGGCAUUCAUCGCCCUAAACUUGGCCCCCUCCAACUCAAAAAUACCGCUGGAAAAACUCCUGUUUUAGAUGUUGGAACUCUCGCUAAGAUCAGAACUGGAGAGAUUAAGGUUAACUUUUUUUCUAUUGAGAUCAAAUAACAUUCAUAAAUGUUGUUUAUAAUUUAUUAUUUUAUAAUUAAUUGUAGGUUUUCCCAGAAAUAAAGAGAGUAAUGCGUGGUUCUGUGGAGUUUGUCGAUGGAAGGAUUCAAGAUUUUGAUGCUAUUAUUCUAGCCACAGGUUACAAAAGUAAUGUGCCUUACUGGUUGAAGGUUAGUUUAUUGAAUCUUUAACAUGAAAGAAGAAUGAUUCUGUUAAUGCAGAAUUAAAGUUUUUUUUUUUUUUUUUGAAAAAAAAGAUGAUCAUCAUGAAUUUUUGCGCUCAGGAGAACAAAAUGUUUUCAAAGAAAGAUGGAAUGCCCCACAAUUCAUUCCCAAAUGGAUGGAAAGGUGAAAAUGGACUGUAUGCAGUAGGCUUUACGAAGCGUGGCCUGCUUGGCGCAUCUAUUGAUGCAAGAAGAGUCGCACAAGACAUUGAGCUUCGCUGGAAAGCUGAAGCUACAAGUUUCAUGGCCAGUGCCCGUGCAUUGCCUCAGCAAUCAUGACUCCAGGGAAACAAAAACCAAAAAAAAAAAAAAAAAAAAAGAAAAAGAAAAAAAUUCCUCUCUCUUGAGUGAAGAUCCAAGCAUGCAGGAAAUAAUAGAACGAGAAAGGACAAGUUGUCUUUUUAACUUUUCGUAUGCACAGAAGCAAGCUAGGAAUGCUACAGAAAAAUUAAAGAUGGGUUUUGGGGGGGGGUGGGUUGAGAUUAUUAUUGGUUUUUUGAGGCAGGAGAAAAUUCUCAACGUGUGUACAUAGCUUGUGCUUUUCUUAAGAAACAAUUUUUUAUAUUCGCUAGUUUUCUGUUAUUAGUUUGGUAAAUAUUUAUAACAAGGGAAGGUUUGGUUUUGCAAUUAAUUUCAUAACAUGUUUCAAAGGGUAGGAGACUAGAAGCGGUGAGUUAAGUAUACUUAAUCAAUUAAUUAGCAACAUUUCCAAUUGGAUUUGAGAUUUUAUGUUAAAAAAAAUAAAGUAAGAUGGUUUCCAUCAGCAUAAGCUCUCAAGUCUCUACAUAGAAAUUGGUUUAUUUAAUUAAUAUUGGAUGGUAAAGCUAAGAAUAGACCACAAAUUUUGAGUUCUCAUUUAUUUUGGAUACCACAUGCAUAUAAAAUUUGAUUUAUUUUGAUCUGAAAAAAGAAGAGAUACCCAUCAAGGGUUCAUAUAUAUAUAUAAAUAGAAAGAGAGAACAUUCAACUGAUCAUCAUCUUGGGACCAUUUUAUAUCUCCUUUUGUAGAAAACAAAAGGCAAAAGUGAUUAUAAAAGAAAAGGGAAAAGAGAGGAAGAAAAAUUAAAUUGGAAAAGAAGAAAAAGAUCAUUUUGGUCGUGUAAAGGUCUUCUGCAGAAGCAAAUAUUAAGUGGCCCUCAGGUUCUCUUCUGUAUCUUUGUGUAUGAUCAACUUUCACUAUACAUAUUUAUUCACUUAAAAAAGUCAUAUAUUGGAUUAAUACUUAUCCUGGUUUGCCUUAUUGCUUGGCCUUUCUAUCCUCAUCAAAAAAAAUUGGACCACCAUCAUAUAAUCUGUGCUGAGUCCAGACAAUUAUCUCUAUGAUCAUAACUUCAUCAUCGUCAAUGCUUAAAAUGCUAAAUGGGGUAUGACAGUGCUCAAGACAAUUUGUCAAUGAAGAUUUAGGUAAAAUAGUAUGACACUUCUUUCCACUUUGAUGUUACACAACAAUCAACCUUUUCAGUCAAAUUAAAUUACAUUAAUUCAUUGCUUACAAAAAAACAAUCAGAUUAAAAUAAUUAUAGAAAAUAUUUCUUGAAAUCAAGACUUUUGUACAUAAAAUGCUAAAAUGAUUGGAAAAUUAUUGUACAUAUGAUUUGAAAGUUAUUGAAAAGAAAUUUGAAAAUGACAGUCCAUUCUUGGACACUGAUUUGUAUUCAGUCCUUAUUAUACACAUCUUAAUACAUAUCUAUACAGGUCAUACCGAAGAAAGAAAAAAGAAAAGAGAAAAAAGAAAAGAGAAAAAAGAAAAGAGAAGAAGAAGAAAAUGUUAAGUUUCGAUAGAUAAUUUUUGUCCUACUCUACCCCAGUCCAAUCGAAGCCUGCUCUUAAAACAGGCACCGUUUCUAGUUUUUCUUUAAAAGACGGCCAAGCUUAUCAAAAUUUCGCCACACAAAAUUGAUUAUAUAAAUACUGAUGAAUCAAGCAAGGUAAAAAAGAAACUUCAUGUGACAGUUAGAUUAUUAAGAGAGGGUAAAGUGUGGAAGGAUGUGGACAUGACAAUAAUGGAGUUGCAUCAGAGUACAGUAGUUAGGGUUUCAUAAUUUGUUGUUGGUGGGUUAUAUUCCGACCGACUGAAGUUGAUGAGCAUAUUCAUACAGUCGAAUCUUGUUGGGUUGAUUCACUAUAAGACACAUUAGCUAGUUAGCUAGCUACUCUCAACGUCAAAGGUUAGUUGUUAACCCGUAAAAUCUUGUAUUUUGUAUCUUGUUUUGGACCAGAAGGGCAUGCCCUACUAAUUAUUGUGUGGCCCAAUUAAUUCUUUGAUAAUGCUUUGGAUUGCAGACUUUCUUCUUCUUCUUUAAUCUAUGCUUAAGGGUCUACGGAUUAUCUUGUGCUAAGUUAAGUUUAUUUCCUUUCUUUUGGCUUUGUUGCAACUUGCUUUGCACAUUCUCCCACAAACAAACAUCAUCAUAUUCAUGUUUUCUCUUUUUCCAUUAUUCAAAUUCCACUAUAAAUAAAAGAUCAAAUAUAAUCAUAUAAAUAUAUAUCGGAUUGGCAUUUACAUUAUGUCAAUCCAAUGCUCUCCCACUAAGACUCAAAGCUGUCGUUUUUUCAAUAAAAAUUAAAUGUCAGUAGCCAAGUUAGAUAGAUAAAUGACAGUGUUUUUCUUCAGCCGACAGCAACUAGUUGCAAAUUCCUGUUUCACACAAGGCAAAAAGUACUAUAAGCAGUUUUCAGCGAAGGAAACUUAAAGGAAGGAAGGAAGGAAGGAAGGAGAAGUUGCCCUACAAAGUCGUAUGCAUGGUCCAGAGGCACGUGAUAGCCAUGCAGACAUUUGGCACUGAGUCACACCGCCGGGGCUGCUUUCUCUGCUACAGCUACGCAUAAUGCACAUGUGUACUCGUGGAUUUGGACCAUCCAUUUGAUUUUGAUCCAUUUACUGCUCUUUAUUGUCAGUGGUCCUUUAUUAAUCUAUGGUAGUAAACUGUCUUCAUCCUUCUAUUUUUCCCAUGGACCAUUUCCCAUUAUUAACACUUAAAACGCGUUAUGGUCUUUGAGUUAGACUUAGAUUGUUAUGUUUUCUUCUUUUUUGUUUUCUGAUAGAGAAUGACUUAUGUACAGUUGGUUUAAAUACAUAAUGCUCUAUUUCUUUUACUUUUAGGCCAUAAUUUAUUAUAUGUAUUCAGUGUUAAAUGCUCAUUUCUAUAAUAUAAAAAUUUUUAGAGUUAAUAUUCUUGAUUUAUCCUUAUUAAUCCUUGAAUUCAAAAUUUCAUUUAUCAUAGAAGCUGAUAGAAUGAAAGAGAAGAAUAUGACAUCUCGCUGAAUUAAUGGUAGUUAUAGCUAACUUGUAUAAUCUUUUAAUGGUAAUUUAUAUGAUAAUUUCCUUUUUAAAUUAUAGCAUCCACUCUAUUAUUAAUUUUUUAAAAUUUUUAUGUGUGAUAUAAGUUACUUGGAUUGAAAAAUCAAUGUUUAAAGAUUAGUACUAACUAAUUAAUUAGCUUUAUGGAUGUGAUGUUUAUUCAAUGGGUGAUGAACAGCUAAGUUAUGCAUAGACAGCAUGGAAAAAUAACGAGUGAUAGAAAGAAAUGGAAAUAAAUUGAUAAUUGUUUACGAUAUUUGCUAUAUGCAAAUAAUAGAAAGUAAACGUGGUUAAAGACUUAAAGGGCUAGGCUUUGGAGAUAGAAUCAAAAAAAAAGGUUAUCCUUCGAGUGUAAAGAGUUGGCUUUAUUACGUACAUGAAAAGAGCAAGACAGGCAGGCGCGCGACUGUGAAUGGGAGAAGACUACUGCAUAGAUUUUAUUUAUUGUUGUAACGAAGGAAAGCAAUUUUGGUAUUGACCAAACAAUAUUCUAAAAUUUAUUGGAUUAAAACUAAAUCAUGCAUACUCCUGUGUUAAUUAACCAAAGAGUAAAAUGCGAAUCAAUAUCAAUCAGGUAUUAUAUGAUUUGAUAUGAGAAAUGAGAAGUCUUGACUAACCAAAGGAUAAAAUGCGAAUCAAUGUCAAUUAAAUAUUAUAUGAUUUGAUAUGAGAAAUGAGAAGUUUUUUGUUUCAAUUAUCUUGAUUAUAAAAAAUUUUCACCAAUUUUGGUGAAUAAAAAGAAAACAUUACUUCUAUUGUGUACUUUAUCGUAUAUUUUGGUCUAUUUUCCUCCCGAUAAACAUCAUAAGUGAAAAAAAGGCAAUUUUGAUAUGCAUAAUCAACGCUUUUCUUUGCCCUUUCUUCAACAUGGUAUGCUAUUUAGGACCACCAUUUGCAACUUGCAUCUUCAAUCAUUAGACCAUCCCUAGUUCCAUAUGUCAUAGCUAAGAAUUAAAUCUGGAAGAGAGUACCAAUUUCUCGAAUUUCUGACUUUCUACGCUUUGAGUGAUACAUACAGUAGUCGAAUGACAUGUAUUGUCCUAUUCUAAAGUGAUGGAAUACUCUGAAGUGUAUAUAUAGAUUUUUAUUAUUAUUGCAGUCACUCUCUUAUCUCACUUAAUUAAUUAGAGAAACAUCAGUUCAACAAACAUUCACCAUGAUUAAAUGAUUUGAGAACGAUUCUUUGCUACCUAAAUCUUGGAAUAUUGUGAUUGAUUGCUUCUAGAACUGUACAUCAUCUUCGUGUCUUUUCAAAAUUUCCUGUGGGGAAAAGAUAAACAAAGUUAUAUUUUACACUUGAAAAAUGCACUUAUUAGGGUGAAAACUGAAAAGGGUAAAUAAUAUAUUAUUAUUGCUAAAUCGACAGGUUAGAAAAAUUAUAUGCUACGUGAAAAUCAAGUUGGAAGUCCUAUUGCAUUAAAGUGAAAAAAGAGAGCUCCAUCAAUGAUUUGAGGAUGAGAUAGAUAAAUCGUAGCCACCAAAAGAAUUGUUGAAGCGAAGAAAGGUUUGUAUCCCCAAGAGAGCUAAGCAAAAAAGAUGCAUCUUUUUUAUCUCCCUUUUGAUAGUGUAAGGAGAUACGACUGCAUAAAGAGCAGAUUCCAUUACUCUACUCCACAUGGACAUUGUGGCUUUUGUAGUGGAAUUUGUCUCCUUUCUCUGUUGGAAUCUCAAUGGAUACUAGAAGAAUCUUCCCUAGUUUCAAAACAGAAUGUACAAAUUCUAGCUAUACCUACUAAAAACAAAAUCGUCAAUAGUCAACGUCUACAUAUAUUAGAUUCCAUGUUGUAAUAAUAACACAGUAUGUGUGAGUCGUUGGCUCUGUUGGCAGAAUACAGGAAUCUGGGUAAUGGGAUCCACGCUCCACACCAGGUUUAGUGGUACUGGAGAGUGCACUAUAGAUUCUUUCUGUAUUUACAUUCCUCUUUGCAGGAAGAGAGCGUCUUUGUUUUUAUUUAGUUUUAGGUUGUUAGAGUGAAGGGAUAUAAGAAAUCCAUUUGUUUCAAUCUAAAAACCUUGAAUCUAUAAGAUUCCCUCAAUCUAGAGGAUAUACGUUGAAACGGGGAAGGAUUCCAUUUUUAUAUAUUAAAUCAAUUAAAAACAGUUUUUUUUUUCAUUGCAAACGAGAGGUAUUUGUGACUGUUCAUAGGGGAAAAAAAAAAAAACAGAAACCGUAUUUUAAAGAACUUUUUUUUGAUUGGGUCGCGUGUGAUGUUUUUAUACACUACGUGUAGACAAAGCAAAACAAUUGGCCUACACAAGCGGUGAGGAUACAACAUGUUGGCCCAAAAAUAAGAUGAAAAUGGGCUGUUCAAAUUAUAUAGUCCAAACUAACUUGGAUUUACCGUUUUGGACCUUUGUUUAGCUUUGAAACCAAUAUGUUAUAGAAAGAAAGUUUAUGGGCCUCCAAUUGGCCCAAUAAGUUGAACCUUAACCCUCCUGAAAUUAUGAAUGCAUACACAAUUAUUAAAAAAGAAAAAAAACACAAAUAUAUAAAUGAAAGUUGAAAGUGUUACUGAAAAAAAAAAAAUAUUUAUCACAAAAUAAUUAUCUCAAAUUAUAUCCAUAAUCAAAUCCUACACCAAAUUAGAGGAAGGAAAAAUUGAAAAUACACAAUAGAAACAUCGUAGUUAAUCAAAGUCAGAACUGCAAGCUUCUAGCGCUUAACAUUUAAUGCUUGAAUUCUUUAAAAAAAAAAAAAAAAAACACUUAAUACUUGAAAUACUCUAAACAUUGUCUUUUCAUGUUCUUCAUCUCAAACUCAUUAGUAUCACAAAACUCAGAGAAUUGAGGAACUUGCAUUUGAGAAGAAACAUUAGGCAUGAUUGAGCCUUGUCCAGAACCUAACAGAGACAACUGCCUCAUUUCCCCGCAAUAGCUUACUGGAUGAGGGAUCCCACCAUUAUGAUUAUUCAAUAUCACCAUAUUACCUGCCGUCUGAUCAGCUUCUUGAGCUCCAAAUUGACUCAAAUCUGUACCGUUGGCUUUCAUCAUCAUCAUCAUCAUCAUAGGACUAUUAAGAGGAUUAACAUUAAAAGGAAGCACCUGAUGAUGAUCAAAUGGCUGCUGUAAUUCUGUACACUUUUGUUGCAAGGCAUUAGCGAAGGUAGAAGCCAUUGAAUUGUAUCUAUUAUUAAUAUUAUUAUUGCUCGAGCUUCCUUGAAUAAUAUUAACUGACUUGGAAUCUUCACCGAUCAUCAAAUAAUUGUCACCUUUUAUCUUCAAAAUCCUACUCAUUGCAGUUUCAAGCUUAGACUGUAAAACAGUAUGCAAUAAACAGAGUUCUUCAAGUUCCGAUGAGUUUAAACGAUUAUCCCAAGUAGGAAACUUGGCUUCCAAACAGGCCCUAUGCAUUUUAGUAAUCUCAUCGUCCAAUUUUCUCUUGCGAGUCUCAAAAAAAUGCGACAAAUCUUGACUUUUCUUGCGGUCAUUGCCAUGUGAUUUGUAACGGUCUAUAAUUUUCUUGAUUUCGGAGUGAUCGGUCGGGCAGGUAUCGACGUCAAUGGGACGGUUACUGAAUUUCGGACCAAAGAUUAUCACACAAGCAUCUACGUCGCAGAGAACUCGAAACUCGUGCAGUUUCUUUGUCAAACCUUUCUUUCUUUUCUGAUAUGUCACCAUGCGAGACCUCUCGUUGGUAAUUAGUUUCAUGCUCAGCUUUCCACGUCCCAUCUCUUCGAUCUACAUUUAAAAAAAAAAAAAGAACUGAAAUUAUCAGAAAAUUAAUAUUUAAAGUAUCCUAUAAAACAAAUUGCAACUAACAAAUGGAGAAAUUAAUUACAAAAACACUUUCUGCCAUGAGCUCGAAAUGAAAUUAGUUUCAUUUCCCAAAAAGGAUAUAGAUAUACUCGGAAAACAAAAUGAAAAAAAUACCAAAAAAAAUUUGAUAAAUUAGAAGACAUUUUAGACUUGAAUGGCUAUGUUUUUGCAUAAAGGGAAACACAAUGGAGAAGGUGUUGGUAUAAUAAGAGAGAAACCUGGUUUUAAAAGCCUUUGAUCUAACUACAGCAAGCCAAGAAUGGAGAUUUUUCAUUUUUUUUUUUUUCCAUAGAGCUUUAUAAAGGGAAAACUGUGUUGCUUCAUAAUAAAGAAUAUUACUAUUAUGGAAAAUGAAUCAUCAUCCGCUGAUUUUUGCAUAAAAAAAUUAGGAAUUUAAUUUGUAUAGCAAUGCCCAACAGGCGGAUUUUUCCAUUUUGCUAUCUUGCAGGCCGACAGAACAUUGCUAAUACCAUAUUACUAUAUUUGGAAUCCCAUCACUCACUCUAAAUAGGAAAUACAUUUAUUACUAUCUCUUAUUUAUUUAAAAAAUCAUUAAAAUGAAAGACAUUUUAUAUAUAUGGAAACAAAAAUCUUUCCAAGCUGGAUUUCAAUUUUCAUUUCAACUGAUUCAUUUUUGCAUCAAAUAUUUUCCUUAUCAUUUAUAUUAUGGACCAGAUCAUCUUGAUUAAAAAAAAAAAAAAAAAGUUUUAACUAAGCAUUAGUUGGGCUGGGCUUCAUCGCCGUAUUGUUAGUUUGGGUUGAGAGGAUUUCUUUAUAGUCUAUGACUUAGUAACCAAAGUUGGGCCUAGAUGAAUUAGUUUGCAUGAUCUGAUCCAGAUAAUUUAUUUUAAAGAAAAAUUCACAUUCAGAAUUUUUUUUUUAAUAAUAAUAACAAUUUAAUAAUCAGAUUAAUGAGUGAAUAUAAACUUUCUUUCAUGAUUUUUUCUGGCUUUGAUUCAAUCAAUUUCUGCUUCAAGAUGAGAAGAAAUAAUAGUAAAAGCUUUAAUUGAAUCUUCUUUGCUGUCUUAAUUACCUUUUUUUUCGCAGAAUAAUUGUGCAUCUUAUCAAAUAUGUCCUAUUAAAUGCAUUAUCCGAGAGAAUUAAAAUGGAAAUUGAUAAUUAGAAACUGAUUACACAAAACAUAACCAGAGACAUAAAAUCUAUAAAUCAAAAAAGAAUAUAAACAAAAAAUAAUAAAAAGACAACCUGAAACAUUGUCAGAAAUUCUCCAUCUUCAUCAAAUCUCCUUUAGGAGGAGAAAAUUAAGCCUAUAGUCUAAUGGAAGAUAGACUAUUUGGCUUUGAAUUGACACUGCGAGGAGUUCCAGCUGGUUGAACAAAAAUUUCUGCAUACAUUUCCAUGAAGAAAUUGUCAACAAUGUCCAGAUAAGCAGGGCAUGUUAAACGAGAAUAAUAAUGGAGAAUCUCUUCUAUGUCUAGAACAUGAUCCACAUUACUAACAUCCAUCAUUUCUAGCUCCCUUAGCUUCUGCGCCACCAAAAAGCUCCUUCCGUCAUCUUUUACGCUAUAAUUUGAACUAUUCUCCACCAAUCUUUUCCCUCUUUGGAAACCCUUGCCCUUGUUAUUACUAAUAUACGUUUUAACAGGACUCUUCUUCGAGAAUUUCAUGAAACUUCCAUUUAGACCAUCACUUUUUUCUUGCUUGGCUGGUGAUGACGGUCGCGGUUGUUCUAUCUUCUUCUUGUUUCCUUUAUUCAUUUCCUUUCCUUUAUCAGUAUCCCACCUGUCGCUGAAGUCAGUGUAGAAGUUGUCCAAAUCAUUUUUAUUGAAUCUUGUUUGGACAUUAGAGUACGGAUUGUAUGGAGAUAAGGUUUUGGGCAUUUUUUCGUAAGAAGAACCAGAAAAGAAAGACUUGAAGCUUUGUAAGGUUUUCUGGAAGAAUUUCUUGGUGUUGGAGAAGGAGCUUUUUAGCAACAUUGUCAAUGGUGGUGGUUAGUUCAGUUGUUUUAUGUGGAGGUACAAAAGAAACAGAUACUAUUUGUCUCUCUAUCUCUCAGUUUCUUUAUAGAGAAAGAAGAGAUAGAGGAGCCAUGAAAGGUUCUUGAAAUUACUAAAGAGAAAGAAAAGAGAAUGCAGUGGGCAGCAUUAUGUCUGUUUGUCUUUACACGCUCUUCUUUUUUCUUUUUGUUGUAUUAAUUUCUUGAAAUCCAGCUGAGUCCCCACCCACUGAUCAUAUCUCUCUCCCACACACGAAGGUAUCGAAAGAAAAUGGUAAAGCUUAUGUGAAAGUUUGAUGAAUAUUUAUUAUAAGAAAGUUUUCCAUCAUUUUUACUUUGUAAGGUGGAGUUGGUGUGUAGGGCUCUUUGGGAGAAAGGAAAGGAAAGGAGCGGGUGUGGUUGUUGAACUGGCUCUUUCUUUCUCUACAUUCUUUGGCUCUAGCGGCUUGUUGGUAAGAGUUCUGUUAUCGUAUAUUGCCUGCUGUUCUCCCUAUAUAUACACAUACAAAUACAUUCUCAUUGUACAUCCCCAUAUAAGAUUUAAUUCAAUAAUAAAUAAUGGGGCCACAGAAUUGCAAAUUAAGUAUUAUCAACUAUAUUAAUCACAUGGAGACAAAAAAAAAAAAAAAAAUUGUGUGUGAAGAUUUUUUUUUAAUUUUAUGAUAUGGCUCUAUAAAUCAAAUUUUAAUUAACAAAAUGAGAGUAAACUCACUUGUUUAAUGAAUUAUGAGUUUAAAUUUAAUAAAUACUACUAACUAAUUAGUAGGAUAAUUAAAAUCAUUGGAGGUAGGCAUGACGUCUAUGUAAUAAGGUGUAGAGUAUCUCUCUCAUAGACACUUCAAUCAUUAGGAUGUCUCUUUUAAUCGAUGUAGUAAUUAGUAAUUAGGAUUAGAUUUGUUUAUUUUGCUCGUAAUAUAUUAAAAUGUUUUGGUUCGAGAAUCAUAAGAUGAUGGACCAUUCCCUCCCCACUAUAAGACAAAUUCCCGUGAAUCACGGAUUGGAUCGACUUGCACUAUUUCUACACUAUUAAUUAAGUCAAAACCAACACUAAUUGACCAAAAGUAAGCCAUAAGACCAACAAUGUCUCUAAUCAUUGAUGAUUUUUUUUUUUUUUUGGGAUGAAUGAUAUUAUUUUAUUUGAUACAUUAAUACCCAAUUAAUAUUUAAAAUUGAAUCAUUAACUACUAUAGUAAGCAAUUUAUCAUUGUAUUCUAACAAUAUUGAAAUUAAUUUUUUUUACACCCAAAUAUAAACCUAUAGCCUGGGUGAUUCCAUAGAUUGCAGGGGCAACGUAUGUUACCGUUAAGCAGCAUAAUUAUACUUUGGCUUUUUAGGUAUUAUUAUUAUUAUUAUUAUUAUUAUAAAGAAUGUUGGCGGCUCGGAGUAGGAGUUAAUGGAAGACAAAAGUGACUAGUGAUUAGGACAAGAGAGCUGUUGAGGUCUAAGAGAAGAUAUAGGGAUAGUUGUAUACUUUUUGAUAAUGUUUGACCAAUUGCUACUGGCCACGCGUUUUGGCGUUCGGAACCAGUCUCCAUCCCUAUCUAGUUCCUUACUAUUCACUCUGACCUAACGGGAACCGCUCUUCGUACGGCUUCAUUUUUUUUUACCCUUUAUUAAUUAACCACUUCCUAUGACUUUUCAAUUUCAUCAAGUAACACAAGAAAUAAGUAAAGCUUUAAUCAAGAAAGCAUCAACCUAAGAAAAAAAAAUGAAAAUAGAAAAGAAAGACAAAUAAAUAAUGUGAAAACAAGUUGUAUUGAUAUAUUAUUCACUUGCCUUUACAACCAGCAUAAUAGGAAUUUCACUAAAUGGGGAUACAAUGCCUAUCUAAAUUGGAAAUAAAACCUUAUAAAAAUUAAAGUUUAAUAUAAAAAAAAAAGAUUUAUAAAAUUAUUCUGAGUGGAAACAAAUUUGUAUAAUUACUAACUAUGACGGUAUAUUUGCAACUUUUUUGGACCCUAAAACUUAAUUUUAAGCCGAUGUCAAUAUUACUAUGGAAAAUAAUAUUUAUCUAAUGAAUGGUAAACGUUCAUUUUCACCUUUAUUUCUAUCAUUUUCAUAUGAAAGACGAGAAAGAAGAGGAAAAUGAGAAAGUUCCUUACGGCACCUAGUUUAAAUGUAUGGAAUUCUAUUCGAUUUCAUCAUCUUACUAGUUGUUACAUAAAAUUAGAAAGGCUUGGCAAAGAGCCUCCUAAAAUGAUGUAUGAAGCUGCUUUUCUUUGAGAAGAUGUAUGCAGCUUUUAUAAGCAAAUGAAGCAAAUGAAGGUGAAAAAACGGAAAUGCCAAACAAAGUCAAAAAAAAAAAAAAAAAAAAAAAAAAAAAAAAAAAAAAAAGUGAGGGACAUUAAUCAUCCAGAAUUAUAGCUCUUACAUGUUCUCUCUUGAACAACAACAGAAAAACCAAACACAUAAAUAAAAUCAUUUAGGCACUAUACAAGCACAAACUUUUAAACCAUUUAACCAUUCACAGAUGUCAUAUAGACAUUAGUCAUCCAGCAUUAAUGUGAUACUUCCAUAUAAACUUUAUCAAACCAGUAAUAAUAUCAAUAGCUGUUAGAGUUUCUCUUGAACUAUAGAAAAACCGAAUACAUCUACUAGUUGCAGUGCAACAAAGACAUUCUCCAUUAACAGAGACAAACACAUUCUCUAUCCUCCAUCAACAAAAUCAACAUCUUCAUCUGACCUCAGCGAGCUUCAUACUGAACAACUGCAAGAGGCAAACUUUUUGUGUUAAACCAAAUGAUUAAGCACUGAUAAGUCUUAAGAGUCAAGGGAGUCUGCAUCAGACAAACCAUAAGAUUUUGCUGAAAUCUAGACAUGUAAAAUAUACAUGUGGGAGAAGUGUCUAUGAAAGGAUAUAAAGGCCAAACAAGAAACAAGCACUAAAUGCAUGGUUACAACUGUUGCAUUGUAAACAUGUCAGUAUGUUGCAAAUUGUGGCCGGCACCAUAAAGAAACUUCUUAAAAAAAAAAAAAAAAAAAAUCAAAAAAAAACAAAAAAAAAAAAAAAAAAAAAAAAAAAAAAAAAAAGAAAA
rnacentral:lncRNA from 1 species